rnacentral:rRNA from 1 species
GUGGGGAAUUUUGGACAAUGGGCGCAAGCCUGAUCCAGCCAUGCCGCGUGCGGGAAGAAGGCCUUCGGGUUGUAAACCGCUUUUGUCGGGGAAGAAAUCUUCCGGGCCAAUACCCUGGGAGGAUGACGGUACCCGAAGAAUAAGCACCGGCUAACUACGUGCCAGCAGCCGCGGUAAUACGUAGGGUGCGAGCGUUAAUCGGAAUUACUGGGCGUAAAGCGUGCGCAGGCGGUUGUGCAAGACAGAUGUGAAAUCCCCGGGCUUAACCUGGGCACUGCAUUUGUGACUGCAUGACUGGAGUACGGCAGAGGGGGAUGGAAUUCCGCGUGUAGCAGUGAAAUGCGUAGAUAUGCGGAGGAACACCGAUGGCGAAGGCAGUCCCCUGGGCCUGUACUGACGCUCAUGCACGAAAGCGUGGGGAGCAAACAGGAUUAGAAACCCUUGUAGUCC